AGUGGUCUAGUGGUAUGACGUUUCCUUAGCAUGCUAUCUAAGCAUGGAAAAGGUUCUGGGUUCGAUUCCCAGCU
rnacentral:tRNA from 1 species